rnacentral:rRNA from 1 species
CGCGCACACACCGCCCGUCACUCUCCCCGAGCCGCUCAAAUCUACCAGUAAAUAAAAACUAUUCAGGUAAAGGGGAGGCAAGUCGUAACAUGGUAAGUGU